rnacentral:rRNA from 1 species
UGGGUCCUACGGGGCGCAGCAGUGGGGAAUAUUGGGCAAUGGGCGCAAGCCUGACCCAGCAACGCCGCGUGAAGGAAGAAGGCCCUCGGGUUGUAAACUUCUUUUGUCAGGGACGAAGCGAGUGACGGUACCUGACGAAUAAGCCACGGCUAACUACGUGCCAGCAGCCGCGGUAAUACGUAGGUGGCAAGCGUUAUCCGGAUUUACUGGGUGUAAAGGGCGUGUAGGCGGGG